rnacentral:rRNA from 1 species
CGGCGGACGGGUGAGUAACGCGUGGGUAACCUACCCUGUACACACGGAUAACAUACCGAAAGGUAUGCUAAUACGGGAUAAUAUAUUUGAGAGGCAUCUCUUGAAUAUCAAAGGUGAGCCAGUACAGGAUGGACCCGCGUCUGAUUAGCUAGUUGGUAAGGUAACGGCUUACCAAGGCGACGAUCAGUAGCCGACCUGAGAGGGUGAUCGGCCACAUGGAACUGAGACACGGUCCAA